rnacentral:rRNA from 1 species
GCCUACGGUCAUGCUACCCUGAUCCCGUCUGAUCUCGGAAGCUAAGCAGGGUUGGGCCUGGUUAGUACUUGGGUGGGAGACCACCUAGGAAGACCAGGUGCUGUAGGUA